UCCAGUUUAUCACUGGCAGUCUCCUUAAAGUUCUUAGCAUUAACCUAUUAGCAACUAAGGAUAGGGGUUGCGCCCGUUAAAGGACUUAACCCAACAUCUCACGACACGAGCUGACGACAGCCAUGCACCACCUGUGCGAAGUCCGGCCGAACCGAAAGCUUGAUCUCUCAAGCCGACGACUUCCAUGUCAAGAGCUGGUAAGGUUUUUCGCGGAUUAUCGAAUUAAACCACAUGCUCCACCGCUUGUGCGGGUCCCCGUCAAUUCCUUUGAGUUUUAGUCUUGCGACCGUACUCCCCAGGCGGAUUGCUUAACGCGUUAGCUUCAACACUGCAAACUAUUCAUUCGCAACGUUUAGCAAUCAUCGUUUAGGGCGUGGACUAC
rnacentral:misc_RNA from 1 species